GGGACCUACGGGGGGCAGCAGUGGGGAAUAUUGCACAAUGGGGGAAACCCUGAUGCAGCGACGCCGCGUGAGUGAAGAAGUAUUUCGGUAUGUAAAGCUCUAUCAGCAGGAACGAGACAAGACGGUACCUGACUAAGAAGCCCCGGCUAACUACGUGCCAGCAGCCGCGGUAAUACGUAGGGGGCAAGCGUUAUCCGGAUUUACUGGGUGUAAAGGGAGCGUAGACGGCAUUGCAAGUCUGAUGUGAAAGAUUGGGGCUCAACCCCAGGCCUGCAUUGGAAACUGUAAAGCUGGAGUACAGGAGG
rnacentral:rRNA from 1 species